rnacentral:rRNA from 1 species
ACGUACUUNAGCUNAGACNGGCAUCUGCCCUAUAUUUGUUUAAAUGGCCGCAGUAUUUUGACUGUGCAAAGGUAGCAUAAUCACUUGUCUCUUAAUUGGGGGCUGGAAUGAAUGAGGCGACGAAAUCUAGGCUAUCUAAGUUUUAAAUUAAAUUGACAAAGAGGUCAAAAGGCCUGUGUGGGCCAAGGGGACGAUAAGACCCUAUAAAACUUUACUUUUAGUGUGGGGUCUGAUGGGGUGUUUUUACAUUUAAAAGUUUUACUGGGGCGGUAGUUAUAAAAACAAUUAGAUAUAAAAUAUAUUAAAUAGUGUAAAAGAACUCUUUGAGAAAUAGAACCAGUUACUUUAGGGAUAACAGCGUAAUCCCCCCAGAGAGUCCUAAUUGGCGGGGGGGCUUGCGACCUCGAUGUUGAAUUGGGGUCUCUUGUAUAAGCAGACGUAUAUACUUAGUACAAGUUCUGUUCGCACUA